AUUUAUUGGGUACCUACUGUGUGCCGAGCCCUCAGUGAUUUUCUGCCUAGGAAUGUCAAACACGGCGUUCAACAAAUCUUUGAAAUGAGGAAGAGUCUUGCCCAGCUGAGGUCCUGCUGACUUCAAGUUCAGUGUUCAUCUCGUUCCACUAGGAAUUUCAGCUCUGGAGCUGUAUAGCCCUGUCUUCUCUGCCGUGUCCCAGCUCGGGUACAGCAGCACGUGGCUCACGCCUCCGAAGUACGUACACUAAGAACACUGUGUGAGUGAUAAACUAAGAGGAUGGAAAAUUUUACCAAGAGAUAAUCAUGGUCUUGGCCUGCUCUCCUUUGAUAAGUCCGAGACUCCCAGGGAUGUUUCCUCCAUCCUCCUUGGAGUCAGUCUGGUUUUCCAGCCUCAAGGAGAGAAAACAAGAGAAUUUGCUCAAAUGGCUUGUACAUUCCAUUCUUUAUGGCUCUUGUUGAUGUCUGAUGCUGCCACUGAGACAAGUGAUCCAAGGGCUCUCUUGAAUUCUCCCUGUCCUAGAAUUAUGCUCAACCAUGGUAACUCAAUCCUAUAUAGGCCUGGGAUCCCAGCUCUUUAUACACGGACACACACACACACACACACACACACACACACACAGCCACUGCCACAACUCAUUCUCCAUGGUGCCUGAGUCAUUGUUGCUGAGGGUGAAUGAGAUCCCUUCCUUUAUCUCCCAAGCCCUUGGUCUAUUCACAUUUAUCUCCCUAGAAUAUCAUUCCACUCAGUGGGUAACUUCAGUUGUUCCAAUGGUAAUAACAGCUACCAUUAUUUGAAAGCCAAGUGUUCUGCUAUUGUAUCUUCACAAACAUCAAUCCUCAGAAUGAACCUAUGAGGCAGGUACUGUUAUUCUUACUUCCCAGCUGGAGUCUAUGAGGUUCAAGUAUGUUAAGGGGUUUGCUGGAGAUCCACACCUUGCAAGUAAAACAAUCUUAGAUUUUAACCCAGUUUUGUCUAACUCCAAAACCCACACUCAGAACCGCUACCCUACACGGCCUCUCUAGGAAGGGAUAUAAACAAGAAGUUCAUAAUAAAUGGUAAAUGAAGAAGUAAAAUCGUAAUGAAUAGAAUUGUGCAAAAAUGUCUGCAUGUCAAGAGUAUUUGCUGUGCAAGACAGGGUUGUGUAUGUUUUUUCUCCUCUUAGAUAAUUUCCUCUAGUGACAGUUAUACGGUUUUUACAGUUAAAAGAAGCUGUCCUCCACCUGCAAAGAUGACUGCCUUUAGCCUCAUAGUUCUUAGCCUUGGUUGCACAUGAGAAUCCCCUCGAGGGUCUAUUUGAAAAGAUACACAGUGUCUGGAGUCCAUUGCAGAUGAAGCAUGUCAGGCUCUCUCUGGGGGCUGAGUCCAGGCAGCAGUAUUCUAAGAGCUGAUUUUAGUGUGCAAGCAGGAUUCAGGAACAACUUUAUGGAGAAGCUUCACCUCCCACUGUUCUUCUUCUGGAGAAUCUAGCUUCCUUGUGUCCUGUAACUCCAUGCUACUUGAUGCAAGCUUUUCUUUCUUUGCCCAGGAAGGGGCUAGUAAUAUGACUUAUUUCCCAAUCUUCUGUUCAGAGGGGCACUGAGAAGACUUUUUGGCUGAUAGAAAUAUUCUACAUCUUGAUUGUGGUUAUAUGACUGUAUACAUUUGCCAAAACUCACUGAAAAAAGGUGAAUUUUAUUUUAUGUAAACUAUACUUUAUUAAGCCAUUA